rnacentral:rRNA from 1 species
CGAUUCUGGCUCAGGAUGAACGCUAGCGGCAGGCUUAACACAUGCAAGUCGAGGGGCAUCGGGAGUAGCAAUACUUGCCGGCGACCGGCGCAAGGGUGCGUAACGCGUGAGCAACAUGCCCGUAUCAGGGGGAUAAUCCAUGGAAACGUGGUUUAAUACCCCAUAGUAAUUAUGUAAGGCAUCUUAUAUAAUUUAAAGCUUUGGUGGAUACGGAUUGGCUCGCGUGACAUUAGCUGGAUGGUAAGGUAACGGCUUACCAUGGCUACGAUGUCUAGGGGUUCUGAGAGGAAGGUCCCCCCACACUGGAACUGAGACACGGUCCAGACUCCUACGGGAGGCAGCAGUGAGGAAUAUUGGACAAUGGAUGGAAAUCUGAUCCAGCCAUGCCGCGUGCAAGGAAGACGGCCCUAUGGGUUGUAAACUGCUUUUGUAUGGGAGCAAUAAGGGCUACGUGUAGUCCGAUGAGAGUACCAUACGAAUAAGCACCGGCUAACUCCGUGCCAGCCGCUGC